rnacentral:rRNA from 1 species
UAGGGAAUCUUCGGCAAUGGGGGCAACCCUGACCGAGCAACGCCGCGUGAGUGAAGAAGGUUUUCGGAUCGUAAAGCUCUGUUGUAAGAGAAGAACGUGUGUGAGAGUGGAAUGUUCACACAGUGACGGUAACUUACCAGAAAGGGACGGCUAACUACGUGCCAGCAGCCGCGGUAAUACGUAGGUCCCGAGCGUUGUCCGGAUUUAUUGGGCGUAAAGCGAGCGCAGGCGGUUUAAUAAGUCUGAAGUUAAAGGCAGUGGCUUAACCAUUGUUCGCUUUGGAAACUGUUAAACUUGAGUGCAGAAGGGGAGAGUGGAAUUCCAUGUGUAGCGGUGAAAUGCGUAGAUAUAUGGAGGAACACCGGUGGCGAAAGCGGCUCUCUGGUCUGUAACUGACGCUGAGGCUCGAAAGCGUGGGGAGCAAACAGG